rnacentral:lncRNA from 1 species
CUGGAAUCUUCAGGUUUCUCUGGUCUUUUGUCCAAACAUCUGUAUGUUCUUUGCCUUCAUGCUUUGGGGCUUUACUGAAGGAUCUCUGCAUGAGACUGUCACCUGCUGUGCUCUUUAUAUUCUGAGGCCUGUUAUGUUGAUUUGGGCUUUGCGCUAUUUGAAGUAUCUUCAAGACAAUCAUAAAUCAUGGAUUAGGUUUUUCAGAAUAACACAUGAACUUACUGUUCUUACAGUCAUUGUUUAUUCAGACCUGUCCAGAAUUCAGCCAUUAAAUCAUACCGCACCCCCUCUCUAAAAUCCUGUAAACAUGAACCCUGAAGUCAGCAACCCUGAUUACUCAAACUGACUGAAAGACAGACAGUGCUUACAAGUGUCUAGUAUAUUCUUCAUUUCAAAAUAAUAAGAUUACAUCCUUUUAUAAUUUAUACUUUAUUGUAUGUAUACUGUUGCCCU